UAAACUUCAGCUGGCUGUGAUGAUACAAUCUGGGAUUGUAAAUAAGGCGGGAAAAACUGCUGCUUUUACUACUGCUAUUGGUUGUGCUUUAACAUCAUGACUGAGAGGGGAAGUUACCCAACACAUCCAUGUGUAUUUUAUGUAUGUGUGGUCAAAAAUGAAGCAAUUACUAUAAUUGAGAAAGUGGGGACCAUCUGCUGUUGAUGUUGAUGUGAUACAGAGCUGUGACAUCAUGAUCAUGUCAGUAAAUUGAAGAUAAAUAAAGACUUGGAUUAUCCCAUGGGAAUGUGUCAGUAGUAAAAUUCUGCAGUAUACAGAAGGAUCUGGAUGGUAACACAUUCUGAUCUACUCAGUUUAGAGUCAACAGUGACUAAUUGGUUUUCCUUGUGUGAGUGAAGGUCAAGGAGUUGGUUUCUACCUGUGAGUGUGUCAAAAGUUAGCAGGCAGCCAGACCACCAUGAAGUACUGAAACUGAGUUUGACCUGCACGGCAAAUAGUGGGAGAUGCCUAAAAGUUGAUGUUCCUGUAGAAAGAUAGGGAACCCAUUUGGGUCAUUUUGGGGACCCACAAGACCUGAUGUUGACUGUAGCCAAGUUAGAUGAGUUAUGGGAGAUGAGCAGGGAGACAGGUGAACUCCUCUUUAAUUCAAUUGGAGAAUUUACCAGAGUGACCAACUAGAAGAAGUGGGCGUACUGUAGUUGUAGGUGUACUUGUAGGAUUCCUAAGAUCGAAGGCUCAAUAGGACUUCUGAAAGGACAGAGGGAGAAGCAUUUUGGCAUUGCUUUUGCCAUAGAUUUGAGAAUACCAGCAAGCGGCCGCUUCUGGAUCAGACGCAGGCUUGAGAUCUGUUUCAAUAAAGAUUGCUCUAUCAUUCCACCCAGCCUUGCCUCCACACAGAAUCCUUUUAUCAUCAAACUACAUGCUGACACCUUUGAGGAAGAGAGCCCAGGAACUACAAUACAGUUGUCAGAUUUCAAUUCAUCAGACAGUUGAUUGAUGUGAGUGAAUUUUCUGCAGAUUCCUCCUUCAGUGUGACCGUCUUGGAUGAUGAUGACUCAGCAUCACUGUCAUUUCUCCAGCUUCCAUCAGCCUGAAUGUAAACAGACCACAGCAAGAGGAGGAGCUACACAACUGAAUAUGAAAGGCUUCAUUUUAGAAGUGAAGAGCUGCUGUGUUCUCUCUGUUCUUCAUUCACUACAGCUGAAGAUAAUGCAGCUCUUUUUAAUCUGGAUGAUGAUCUUCAUGUUUCAUGCUGGAUCCUCUGAGGAUUUAGUGAAACCAUUUAAAGAUGUAAUGCUGGCUGUGGAAGGAGACACUGUGACUCUGUCCUGCAACUAUUCAGGCUCUGCUGACUACAUCUACUGGUAUCAACAGAAGUCCAGUUCAUCUCCACAGCUUCUCAUGGCAGAAUAUUCAGACAAAACAGAGAAGUUGUCUGUUUCACAUGACAAGAACAGAAAGGAGUUUCAUCUGCAGAUCUCCUCUGCUGCAGUGACAGACUCUGCUGUGUACUACUGUGCUCUGCAGCCCACAGUGACAGGAAACACCAAAACUCUGUACAAAAACCUUUGGAGCAAAGACAACACAAUACUCCACAACAUCCACUAGAGGGAGUCACACACCAUGAACCCAUUACAGUCUGAGCCAGUGUCACUGGACUGAUGACAAAUACAACAAAACAUCAACCAAUAAAGAUUCCACACAGAGCUGCUGUGACAACAGACAGAAAUGGAUUGGUUGAGUUGAAGUGAAUAAAUAAUGUGAAGAGCUGAUUGGCCCCGCCCAUUUAGCCUCAACUCAACCAAUGACAUCAUUCCUUCCUCAUUGUGCUGCAGUGGAAGAACA